UAAAUAUUUGUUGAAAACUAAAAUCUAGGUCUGAGAUGAAGUUUUCCUCAAAAGCAUUUUAAACUCUACCUAGACUGUAGCAAGAGGAAGGGUCCAGAGCUUGGACCCAAAUGAUCUAGUUGGUGGUACAGAGAUUGGACCAGAAUGGUAUGAGGUAAACGUUCAAGUACCAAUAAAAAAGAUGAAAACUUGGUAAGACCAUAUGAUUUAUUUUCUACAAUUCAAGAUUGUAUUGGUGCAUCCAUCGCAUGGCCCUAUCCAUUCAUCUCGGUAGUCAAUGAGUAUUGAGGACGCAUGAUGACUCAAGAUUUUAUGCUUCUUAUUUCUUUAAUUGCUUUUAAUUUUUUUGUUAAAUGUUAAGACUUUAUGUUAGAUAA